GGUCCACGGACCAGCAGGGGUUUGGAACCAGGUCUCACCUUCAACUGAAGUCAAGUCAAGAAAAGGUCGUUUCAUUCACAGACACUGAAUAUAAGUUAAAUAUGAUAUAUGAGUAUUUUCAAAAAACAUUAAUUUGAUCCAAAGUUAUUGUUCAAUAGCUGGACGGUCGUGUCUUGUUCUGGACUGGAAACCAUCAGCACAUGUAGUCGACUGUUGGUCCAUGUGACCACUUCUCUUAGUGCAUCAGACCAAAUCAGAAAAAUCACAUUUGAAAAUGUUGAAAGAAUGAAAGUUAACAAAGUUGAAAUCACAGUCAACUCUUCACCAUUACAUUUUCAUUUCAUUAGAAAAUCAUGCAGGAAGCGUCUUCUGAUCCAUUUCUCACAUUUUCUGAAGAAGAUCGCUCCACGGAACCUCAGGCAGAACAAAGUCGAGGUCAUCGUCCGAUCUGUCCGGUGAGACGAGGCGCGGACAGAUGACGACGUGUUGUGACAGACACUCAACCUGGUCAGUGAAAUGAGAGUUGACAUCAAAAAGCCACAGUGGCCGAGAGGCAACGAGGGGAAAGUCUGUCAGCAGACAUUUCUCACAGCAGCAGCGUCGGUGUGAGAAAUGAAAUGUAAAAUGAAUGAUGGUGGAAUUUCUGCUUCAGUUUUGAGCUCCUGGUUGUGGCGACGUCAUGUGUGACCAGAGGAAACGUGACACGUGAGUCAGCAGGAGUGAAAUCAAGUUUACAGUCAGAUAGACCAUAAAGCUCCGGAUGUAGGGGAGCGAGGAUACAGUGUGAUUGACAGCUGGUCCGUCCAAUCGGUGCGAGGUCGCUGGUGGACGAACUCAGCAGUGGCCAAUCUCUGUAUGAUGUCUUUAAAGAUGCGAUUGACGACAGCCAAUCAGAGCGCAGGACUACGAUGUAGUAGGAGGUUUCUCUUGGUGACAGGUCAUUUAGUGAGUAAUGCCCUGUCAUCAGUCAGUCGUGUGACAUGAACUACAUGAACAACUCGAGACAGGAAGUGGUGUAUUCUGAACGACUUUGUUCAGUCUGAACUUGACAUUAAUCAAAUAAACAGAAUAUGUCUUCAUGUUCGGUACCUUGGCUCUUCGUUCUUCAAGUGGCUCAGAUACAAGGAUAGUGAUCAGGAGACGGAACUUCUCUGUGUUCUCCUUUAGUUCAGGGCCCUGGACACUGAUUGGUCAGCUCAGUCAGAGGAACCAAUGAGCAGUCAGGACUGACUCCACUGGUGGAAGCCUGUUAAAGCAGGAGGGGGAUGAAACCAGCACACACACUAUAACCAUAACCCACUAUACUGGAUUAAAAUAUAUAUAUGAAGUAUAAACUAUAUAUAUAUAUAUAAUAUGUUUCAUUUGUGCCCUUUUUUACUGAGAUAAGAAUUUGUGCAUUAUGAAACAUCAUUGUUUCCAUGAAUGACUACUGUUAUGUGGUGACACGUCCUCACCACUAGAGGACGCUGGUGCUUCACUCAGGUUUUUAACUCAGUGGAUGUUCUGUGACUGAGACUGAUCACAUGAAGGGAACUGAGUCAGAACCUGAAGCGUCCUGGUUCACAGCAGCAGAACAACAAUACACCGUGUGAGAUGAUUUAUCACGAGACAGAUUGUAAUAUUCUGUUAAUCUCCCAUCAUACA